AUGCGUUUUAAUUUUAACUCUAUUUAUUGUGAUAUCUUAGUUUUUGUUUUAUUUUUUAAAUUAUUUUUUGUAAAAUGUUUUAAUUUGUUUUUUUUUUGUUUUGAGAUAUUAAAAAUUUGUUUUUUGAACUGGAUUAGUACCCAGGUAAUCAAAAUUAAUUAAUUCGGGAGUAAAGUUUUGUUUAAACCGAAAAAAUAUUGACUGACUUUAGAUUUUUCUUUGGAACAUGUGUUUUUUGGAGAGCCCUCCUUUUUAGUGAUUUUUAUUGGCACAUGUAUGAUUGUUUAGUUUUUAUUUUGCUUUGUAAUGCUUUUUUUGUUUUUUACAUUUAAAACAGAUAUAUAUUUGGCUUAUGAGUUUAUUUUCCAUGUGUUACUAUUGUGAAUUAUUUUGGAUUGAUUUUUUAUUUUUUUUUGAAAUUGGAAAAGAAAGUAAUUU
rnacentral:rRNA from 1 species